rnacentral:pre_miRNA from 1 species
AUACUACUCCCUCCGUCCGAAAAUACUUGUCAUCAAAAUGGAUAAAAAAGAUGUAUUUAGAACUAAAAUACGUCUAGAUACAUCCCCUUUUAUCCAUUUUGAUGACAAGUAUUUCCGGACGGAGGGAGUAUAUG